ensembl:miRNA
CAGAAUUUGUAAAGAACUCUUAAAACCCAAUAGUAAAAAGACAACCUGUUGAGUUUUAAGAGUUCUCUAUGUAUUCUG